GGUAGGGAUAUGGCUGUGUCAUAUAAGAGCAUGAAAUUGCCUCUGUUGCAGUGGCUUCCAGAAGUAUUUAAAAUAAGAGGAAGGACAGUUCUUUGGGGAUGUGAUUUACAGAGCAGCCAAAGCACUAAAAAAGAUGUCUAAAGUCAUGGAACUUUGCUCAGCUUUAGGAUUUUUAAGGUGAAUUUUUUAUCUUGCUGGUGGCCAACAGAAAAUAAACCUUAUUCCUAGAAAUUAAAGUACAUUGUAUGUAAAUUGGAGAGGUGGUCUGUGGUUCAUAAUGGUGUCUCUGAUGAGUCCCUACGGGAGCAACAAGUACAGAAUUAGGCCCAUAUGAAACAGCUUUCUGUGCCUCACAGUUACCAAGCAGUCGGACUCCUCUGUGCUUAGGUCCUGUAGUAUUUUGUGUUACUUAGAGUCAAGCAAACAGAACCCAAAUAGGUGACUGUUAACUGUUCAGUUAUGAAAUAAAGGGUAUGAAACUGUGAAAUUCAUUAAGUUUGUAGAUAGCUUGACACAGUAUUGGGAAGGUGGAAACAUACUCAGUCUAAGGUCUUUAUGUUAUUUUGCCCAAACUUGUGGUGACUCAUCACAUGCCUCUGUUGCACUGGGUGAAAGGCUGUGGGGAAGUUAAUCUUAAAAGCCAAAACUGAGGCUAAGAAAUGCAAUAAAAGGGUUGGAGAAGCACAAAGUUAGAGGGAGAGAAAGCAGAAAAGUGGAAAAUGAAGCACAGCAAGCGCAGGCUCUUGACACAGUCAUUUUUUUAAUGGAUAUUUGUGCAGUGUGGUUUAACAGGGACAGUUAACAAUCUUACUGUGGUGUAAAGUCUGAACCUGUGCCCCCUGUGCACGCUUCACUGACCACAACAAAAUGUGAUAGGAGAUGAAAGAGAACAUUUAACUUUUCACAGGCUUCAUCUGCUUGGUUUUUUCUCUGUCACAGUUGACUGGUAGAACAAAUUUAUCAUUUUCAUAGCCGGUGUGCAUGUUUUCACCAUGCUGGCAUGCAUUAAGAAGAAAGCCCAGCUCUGACUGUGGUGUUGGGUUAUGGUGCCUGGCAGCAGCAUGGGGACCCUGUCCCGUGGGACACAUCCCAGGCAGCAGCUUUGUCCCGCCUGUGUCUUGGUGACAGGCCUGACAGACGGUUCUGUUUUGCUAGCUCAGUUACUGUAGCUGAUUGUUUCUGCACCGCUUUCUGCUGCACGUUCAGUCACCCCCAGGAUGCAGCUGGGGAGCUCUGCACCUUUGUUCAGGGCAUUAUUUUCUUCAUUCAGCUUCCUUUUCCUGGUAGGAUCUGUAAAUAUGUUUGUGCUGUUUCCACCUGUGAUCACAAAUGAUUUUGCUGUUAAUGCUUGUUACUUGUUAAAAAUCCAAAGGAUUUUUGAAUCACAGAUACAUAAAUUUAUUGAUCCUGGCUAUAAGCAGCAGUCAAUUUGCCUGAUGUUAGCUGGUCAAAGAAGAGUCAGUGUAUAUUUAAUAUUUAGAAUAUUUUGGUAUGAAUUUUUGGUAGUUGAAGUACUACUUAGUUUCAUCAUGGAGAGAAUUAUUUCUGCCAUAUGUGUUGUGCUUUUCUCUCAUUUGCAUCCACUCAAAUGUCACAUUUUUGAGGAACAAAGUAUAUGAAAAUUGUUCUGCUCAAAGUUGUCUAUGUAGUCUUAGAAGAGGUGUAUUCAGUCUGAAAGCCUAAUACUGUGCAAUUGUAGAGCAGCCACUGUGGUACGAGAGAAAGGAAACAUUACAAAUAUAAAAAUGGGAGGAAUGGGGGAAAGUAGAAAUGAGUAAAGGGGAAAAUAGCCUAAGAAUGAUGCCACUUCAUUUAGAAGGUUUUAUCUUCUUUCCAAAUACCUCUCAAAAGACAAUAAAUGGUUCUGUCUCUCAGCCAAGCUGUUCGUUGUGGAAGGUGAGCGUGCGGCAGCUUGACAAGCAGAGUCACCAGCAGGCUGGUGGAGCUGGGCCGGCUCGUGUGGCAUCCCCAGAGACCUGCUGGUGCUUCAGGAGGUUGUGAUCUUACCUGUACCCCCAUGCCGUGGGUGGGCAGUCCCCCAGCACCUCUGCUGUGGCCACAGUGAGUGCCUGUGGAGGAAAUGUGGGUUCUCAGGCAGGGAGCUGCUUUGGAGCAGACAGAGGAGUUUUUGCUGCCAGCCUUUACACAGCUGCGAGCAGAGUCAUGGUGGUUCCAUGAAGAAGAAGAGUCGGCUCAUGUGCUGUGUGGCUCGGCAUCCUCACCUGUCUGUGUUGCUGACAUCCUGGCGCAGCAGUGGUGCUGGCAGGGCACCAGCCGUUGGUGCUGCCGUGCCUCCCACGGCUGCGUCCCGCCUCUUGAAUGGUGCCAUUCCCAGUCUGUGCUCAGGUUAUGUGAAGACAAAUGUGGGACAGAUGCAUCCAAUACAGUUUGUCUGUUCUCUGUGUCCAGUUGGCAUAGUGCUUUUUAAAGCUUUAUGACUCAGGUGGGUUACAUUUCACUAGAACAGUGAAAGGAUUCCUCCCAUUACAGUCUUUAAAAGUCAAAUCUAAAAUGCACAAUGAAGGCCACUUUUCUUAAAUGAAGAAACAUUACUUCCACAUGUAAAAAAACUUCCAACGUUGCUGCUUUGACUGAACCAUCUGAACAGCUGUCCUCUGCUACACAAACCUCCUCCUUGUUUUGGGUGCUGUGCCGUGCUCUGCUUGGCCUAAGGUACUGCAGCUUUUAAAUGAAGCCUUUCUACACCGUAAGAGCAAUCUGCAGUGUUUCCACCGGCGUGUGGCAGCUCUGGGAUGCCAGGCUGGCUGCUGCUCCUCGGUAGUUCUCUGAGAAUGGUUGCUGGUUUUGGAAUGAAAAUCUCCCAGUAACUUCCCGGCCCCUGGCACUAGAUGGAGCUUCAAUCUACUUGCACUUGGAAGUCUGUUAAGUUCAACGACAAGAUGAAAAUACAUGGGAAGAAUACAUGAAGAUAUGCAUGCCUGCUGCUACACUUACAGCACCUCUUUCCAUGUUUUUUAGCAGAGUGGUGUAAACCACAAUUUAAUCUAAAUGAAAAUUAAAAUAUUGCCGCAGAA